rnacentral:lncRNA from 1 species
CACGAUGGUGCCCAGAACACAAACGCCAGCGCCCAACAUCGAAAGUGCUUCAAUCUGCAAGCCCGUGGCAGGAAGAGUUUUGUGGGGGGGGGUUGUCUUGUUAAGGUCAAGUUACAAUAGUUAGGGAUGAUAAGUAAGAAACAUCACCCGUCUAAUGCUAGCUCUAUGAAACACACGCGCACACACACAGACACGGGAAUCUCACCAGAGAGCUGAAAGGAGGGACCAAUUACAACACAGGGGGCCUGUCAGCCAGCCAGAGCUUUCUUCGGCUCUCUUCUCAUUGCCUUUGAUACCCAGCAGGGCAAAUGAUCCUUCUUUCCUCCCUCACUGGAACCCCCCUCAGCUUUUCCUUCUCUGCCCCCUACCAGGCUGGCCACCCCCAGGCAAGGCCCCUGAGACCUCCCAGCCCCAUGCCUCCUGCCCGUCACCUGGACCAGACCCAGUGGGCUUGUUGUCUGAAGUUCCACUUACUGCUCUCCUAGAUACUCAGUCAAAAACAAUUGGUUUAGGGCCAGCUGGAUCAGUUUAAAGGCAAAUGAACUUUCCGGACACUCGUUUUGUGUUGGGGGAUGGGUGGGUACAGGUUCGGGUGCACCAUGUAGCUAUGUUGCAAGCUUUGACAAGUCUUUACCCAUUCAGGCCUGUUUUUCAGGAUUGGGGAUGAUCAAUUUUGCCAAUAAUGUCUGUUCCACACUGUUUUUUAGUAGUGGAAAAGUAGGAAAUAAUGAAACAUCUGAGACUCGGGGACUGGAGAGCAGUCUGUGUGGUAUGGGCCCGUUCCUAUAGUCUAUCGUCAGGGUGGCGGUGAGUGGGGUCAGGGUCAGUCUGUGGGGCUGCCUACGGUAUCUGGUUGGAGGGAGCCGCUGAGGUGCUCACAGCAGCGAUCGGGGGCUGGCAUGUCCUUCAUUCUUCUAUGUUUUCGAUUUUCUUGUAAAGAGGAUUCAUUGCUUUUACAACAUCAAAAACCAAUAGAGAAACACAAAAGCAAGGAAAAAUCUGAAAACAAACACAAUUGCUUAG